rnacentral:snRNA from 1 species
GUGCUCAUUUCAGCAGCAUGUAUAUUAAAAUUGGAGCGAUAUGGAGAUUAUAAUGGCCCCUACACAAGGAUGACAUGCAAAUUCGUGAAGUGUUCCAUAUUAAA